UAGCUAAUCAAUGGAGUGCCAUAGAUUGGU
rnacentral:piRNA from 1 species